rnacentral:ncRNA from 2 species
AACUUAUCCAGAGUGGUGAAGGGAACUGGCCCGAUGAAACCCGGCAACCUGCAAUUUUUGCAAGGUGCUAACUCCAGCAGAAUGUUUAUUACAUUUUGGAAGAUAAGGU